GCCGACGUAGCUCAGUUGGUAGAGCAGCGCACUCGUAAUGCGCAGGCCAAGGGUUCGAGUCCCUUCGUCGGCUCCA
rnacentral:tRNA from 1 species